CCCCCUGGGGUCUGUUUUGGUUUCCCUCUCUCCCCCAUGGGGUUGUGGGUGGCGCUCCCUUCGGAUUUUCUAACGGCUCUGCACAUCUCUGGUUAUUACAAAACCCACUUCAUUCGUUAACGAAUCAACCAUCCCCCUGAAGAGACCACUUAGAGGUCGAAACACGUCGGGGAACGCACAUCACACAGCAUAAAGCAAUGUUGUAUACAUUUGUCCAAUAUUGUGGAAUAUGUAUUGUAUCACCAGAUCCGUAAAGGGUUUUCUUUCAAUUUGUUAUUGCAUUUAAAAUGUAUGUUAUUGACAACCAUAAAAUAAACCAUGCUUUAUUAUAUUA